AUUGAACGCUGGCGGCAGGCCUAACACAUGCAAGUCGAACGGUAACAGGAAGAAGCUUGCUUCUUUGCUGACGAGUGGCGGACGGGUGAGUAAUGUCUGGGAAACUGCCUGAUGGAGGGGGAUAACUACUGGAAACGGUGGCUAAUACCGCAUAACGUCGCAAGACCAAAGAGGGGGACCUUCGGGCCUCUUGCCAUCGGAUGUGCCCAGAUGGGAUUAGCUAGUAGGUGGGGUAACGGCUCACCUAGGCGACGAUCCCUAGCUGGUCUGAGAGGAUGACCAGCCACACUGGAACUGAGACACGGUCCAGACUCCUACGGGAGGCAGCAGUGGGGAAUAUUGCACAAUGGGCGCAAGCCUGAUGCAGCCAUGCCGCGUGUAUGAAGAAGGCCUUCGGGUUGUAAAGUACUUUCAGCGGGGAGGAAGGGAGUAAAGUUAAUACCUUUGCUCAUUGACGUUACCCGCAGAAGAAGCACCGGCUAACUCCGUG
rnacentral:rRNA from 1 species